GCUCCCGUCGUCUAACGGCUUAGGAUACCUGACUUUCUAUCAGGCGAUACGGGUUCGAUUCCCGUCGGGAGUG
rnacentral:tRNA from 1 species